UAUGUGGUGCAAGUUAUAAAUUGACCAAUCAAAGGCCUCAAUAAAAGUAAGUGGAGCCCCCACAUCCCAUGUUCAAAAGGUUAGAUUUUGUGUAGCCAUCUUUCAAAGAGGUAGGGGCGUGGCCUAACAAAAUCCCUCUUGAUUGAAACAUUGACUCAGAACAAUCACUGCUUACUGAUGAUGUCUUGCUCCAACAUGGCGGCGUCCAUAUCAGGAAGAAUUAGUGACUACAUUGGUUGGAAACCAUUUUCUAUGCGUGUCGUCGCACUCACUCAGUCCAGGUCUCAGAUACAGUCAAUGACUGACUGUGUUUUAACCAUUUUUCUACUUCUUUCAUAUAUCACUUUGGAUAAAAGAGGACACUUUAUAGCUAGAAACUAUUGUAAAUACCUCCACAUGCAUCUACAGUACAUCAAUAUUCUUCUGAAUGUGGAGCUAGGAUUUUGUUUUGCAGGAAAAGCAGAGUCAAUGCGCGUCAUCCUCCGAGUCGCUUUGUGCUAACUUGGCUUUCCAAGUUAAGGAAUUUCACUUGCAUUCAACUUUCUGCCACAGUAACUCGACCAGAAAUAGACAAACAGAAGCUAACUUAGGCUGAAAGCUAAAAUAAAGAUUCAUUAACAACACUGAAGUCAUUGAAAAACCUUGAGUAAGUAGAAAUGUGUGUUUAGGUCUCUUAACUCACAUCUGGAUCAAUUUACAGAUCCUGAAAAGCAUUUAAAAAAAACUGAAUUAUAUUUAUAAACCACAACUACAAUCAAUGGGUUUGUUACUGGAAUUUGAUUAAACAGUCAAAUCCCAAAACACACAAGGACAUUUUUUUUAUAGUUUGUCCUCUGCACCUCCUCAGCUGUGACAGUUACCAUAAUAAAAACGACCAGAUGACACGCUCAGCCUUGUCUGCGCUUUUCUGAUCCACAUGGAGGCCCAUCUCCAUUUUUAAUAGGAGAAGUCUGAGGAGUAGCAAGGCACAAUGAUGGCUUUGUGGCGAGGUGGCGUGCCUGUGUGUGUGUGUGUGUGUGUGUGUGUGUGAGGGAGGAACGCAAGACCACACCAAAUUAAGAUGUGGCAGGCGGCCACGAUGGCUGCCCACUUGUUGCGUUUUUGACCGAGCUGGUUUUUAAUCCAGCCACCACCAGGCUCUCCGUUGAAGCAGCUAGUUGCAUAAUAAUCUGGGCAUCCGUUUUUAUAUUUUAUUCCCCUUUUAGAGAAGAGCACAAGUGUGUUAGUUAGCAAAUGAAACGUGCAAAAAACAAAAACCUUCCUCCAAUAAUUUCCCCCAUAAAGACAUGUCUCCUUCCUUAACCAUCUGUCCAGGUUCAAUCAGAAAGAGUGAGGUCCAUUGAAGGAGGGGACAAAAUCCCAGGAGGUGGGAGGAAGCGGCAGGAGGACGGGUUUGAGGGUCUCUCUGGGAAGCCUCACCCAGAUUAGUCACACAGAAUUAAUCGCAGCACAGAACAAUGGUCGCCAAGCUCCUGGCAAACCCAGCUGUCGCUCCGUGAAAGAAAAGAAAAACAAGAUUUAGGGCUACGAGACUUUGGCUGGCCAACCGUUGUUCUGCAACUUGUGGAUCAGCAUCUAGAAAUACAUCCUGACGAACAUCGAUCUAAAAGAUCUCCGUCUGUGGGCGGGAACAGACCGUUUUGUUAUUUCGUCGUCCUAAUCUAAAGAUCUGCGAGGAUUCAAAGUCAGACUUUCCAAACCCAGAAAUGUCUCCCGUGUUCAGCGUAUCCAAAUAUCCGGCAAUCCCAGAGAUUUCAAAAAAGCACACAUCUGCUCAUUGCUUGUUUCAUUUCCCAAAGAAAUAUCCCGACUCACCGUUUUUUGAGCUGCAUGAGCUGUUUACUGCUGAAAACUCAAAGGCCCGCAUGCAGAAAGCUCUGGAAAAAUGUGUCUCUUAAAGGUCAAAACCUCACAUUUCCCAGGAGAUUCUGACCAAACCGCUUUAUGUGGGUCAAUGAACGACCACAACAGGAAGGUGCCAGUCAUAGAAAACGUUGAUUUACCACUGAGAUGUUUGCUUUAAUUUAUGUCUGUUUAUGUUGCGUGGAAGGAACAAGCAAGAGGUCUUUCUUUUACAUUUUUAAAAGGCUAACACAGCCUCCUAAAAAAAAAAGGAAA